rnacentral:rRNA from 1 species
CCGCACGGGUGAGUAACACGUAUCCAACCUGCCGUCUACUCUUGACAGCCUUCUAGAAAGGAAGAUUAAUACAAGAUGGCAUCAUGAGUCCGCAUGUUCACAUGAUUAAAGGUAUUCCGGUAGACGAUGGGGAUGCGUUCCAUUAGAUAGUAGGCGGGGUAACGGCCCACCUAGUCUUCGAUGGAUAGGGGUUCUGAGAGGAAGGUCCCCCACAUUGGAACUGAGACACGGUCCAA